rnacentral:rRNA from 1 species
UACGUAGGUGGCAAGCGUUGUCCGGAUUUACUGGGCGUAAAGAGCGCGCAGGCGGUUGGAUAAGUCGAAUGUGAAAGCCCCCGGCUUAACUGGGGGGGGUCAUUCGAUACUGUUAACUUGAAGGCAGGAGAGGGCAGCAGAAUUCCCGGUGUAGUGGUGAAAUGCGUAGAUAUCGGGAGGAAUACCAGUGGCGAAGGCGGCUGCCUGGCCUGUUCUUGACGCUGAGGCGCGAAAGCUGGGGGAGCAAACGGG